rnacentral:rRNA from 1 species
UACGUAGGGGGCUAGCGUUGUCCGGAAUCAUUGGGCGUAAAGAGCGUGUAGGCGGCCCGGUAAGUCCGCUGUGAAAGUCGGGGGCUCAACCCUCGAAUGCCGGUGGAUACUGUCGGGCUAGAGUGCGGAAGAGGCGAGUGGAAUUCCCGGUGUAGCGGUGAAAUGCGCAGAUAUCGGGAAGAACACCUAUGGCGAAGGCAGCUCUCUGGGACGGUACUGACGCUGAGACGCGAAAGCGUGGGGAGCGAACAGG